rnacentral:rRNA from 1 species
GAUGAACGCUAGCUACAGGCUUAACACAUGCAAGUCGCGGGGCAGCAUGGGGGUUGCUUGCAAUCCCCGAUGGCGACCGGCGCACGGGUGAGUAACGCGUAUCCAACCUGCCCUUCACCACGGGAUAACCCGGUGAAAGUCGGACUAAUACCGUAUGUUGUCCAUUGACGGCAUCCGAUUUGGACGAAAGGUUUGGCGGUGAAGGAUGGGGAUGCGUCCGAUUAGCUGGGCGGCGGGGUGACGGCCCACCGUGGCGACGAUCGGUAGGGGUUCUGAGAGGAAGGUCCCCCACACUGGAACUGAGACACGGUCCAGACUCCUACGGGAGGCAGCAGUGAGGAAUAUUGGUCAAUGGGCGUAAGCCUGAACCAGCCAAGUAGCGUGCAGGAUGACGGCCCUAUGGGCUGUAAACUGCUUUUAUGCGGGGAUAAAGUGGCCCACGUGUGGGUUUUUGCAGGUACCGCAUGAAUAAGGACCGGCUAAUUCCGUG